rnacentral:misc_RNA from 1 species
GCUUUUACAACAUUUACACUUCAUAUGAUUGUGAUGAAAAUCAGGCAAUUACUUUGGAUGUAUGAUGCUGUCAUAUAAAAAUCAAGACAUGGAAUGGGGUAAAGAAGGAUAGAAUAUAAAUAAACAUCUGUGACAGUUACUAAUAUCUUAAGUUCUUAACCCAGCCCAUAACCCUAGGUUCCCUUUUUUGUUUGAGAAGUGAGAAACAAAUCUAUGCAAGUGAUUACAAUUUCUAGGCAGAAAGAAAAGGAUGGAAAAGAAAGUAAACACCUCAAGUAUCUAAAACUUGGUUAGCAAGUAGCAAACCAUUAAAAUUUGACUUCACAAUAAACUUACAAUAG